rnacentral:rRNA from 1 species
UACGGGGGGGGCAAGCGUUGUUCGGAAUUACUGGGCGUAAAGGGCUCGUAGGCGGCCAACUAAGUCGGAUGUGAAAUCCCCAGGCUUAACCUGGGAACUGCAUCCGAUACUGGAUGGCUUGAAUCCGGGAGAGGGAUGCGGAAUUCCAGGUGUAGCGGUGAAAUUCGUAGAUAUUCGGAAGAACACCAGUGGCGAAGGCGACUUACUGGACACAUAUUGACGCUGAGGUGCGAAAGCGUGGGGAGCAAACAGG